UACGAAGGGGGCUAGCGUUGUUCGGAUUUACUGGGCGUAAAGCGCACGUAGGCGGAUCGAUCAGUCAGGGGUGAAAUCCUGGAGCUCAACUCCAGAACUGCCUUUGAUACUGUCGAUCUCGAGUCCGGGAGAGGUGAGUGGAACUCCUAGUGUAGAGGUGGAAUUCGUAGAUAUUAGGAAGAACACCAGUGGCGAAGGCGGCUCACUGGUCCGGUACUGACGCUGAGGUGCGAAAGCGUGGGGAGUAAACAGG
rnacentral:rRNA from 1 species